AUGGUUUCAUUAUUGCUUUUAUGUUUGAUUGGGCCUUCUUGGCAAACUCAAAUGCCUUCAAGGGCAGGCGGGUAAAUUAGUGAGUAAAGUGAGCAAAGGGAAGGGCACGCUAGGGGCAGGAGAAGGGCUGAAGAAGCAGCCACAGCUUGGCACCAAAUGUUUUCUUUGGAAAUAUGGACCCAGUAACCAGAUCCUCUGAAGUGUCCAGAGAAGCCAGAAAUCUGGAUUUCUUUGCAUGAAAUUGUUAAAGAACAAAAUUCAACCAGGUCCAUUUGAUUCUUAGACCAGCGAGAACAACUUGAACGGUAGAGGAAAAUGUUUCUUCCCUAAGAGUUGGCAUAAUCGGCGGAGACCAUAUCUCGCUGGACGGUGCUCGCCCUAGCACUGCAGCCGCUGAGGGAUUCUGGGGUAUCUGGCAUCGCUGGCAGAAGGAUACAAUUGGAAACCUUGGUUAUAUUACCAAAGCUUUGACUGUAAUGUGAUACCUAAGAGAGAGACACGUGGAUUCAGAUAUGACCAGGCAUCUUUAAGGAACUAAGAUUGACCUUACAGAGCCCACGAAGCCCUCAGGAAAACCAGCCUGGUACCUUACCUCCAGGGCUCCCAGCAGCCUUACCAGAAAUGCCUCUUAUUAAUUGCGUGACUGCUUGCACAAUAUAGUCCUAACUUUGGAAGCCCACCUGCAAGACCACCUCCUGUUUAACUGAACUGACCUAAUCCCAGGACCAAGAGGCUGCUUCCGCAAGACUGAACAAUCUACUUGCUCAAUUUUUAAUGUGAGACUUCCAGGGAAGUUUCAGAGGAGGGAAAUAUAGGGGCCAAAGGCAGGCCACCCCCAAAUGUGUCUCUUUGGCAUGUGGACUACUUUGAACUGAAGGCAAUGAAGGCUCUGCAGGCUCAAGAGAAGAUUUGGCUCCUCCCCUA